rnacentral:SRP_RNA from 1 species
GCCGGGCAUGGUGGCGGGUGCCUGUAAUCCCAGCUACUCGGGAGGCUGAGGCAGGAGAAUCGCUUGAGCCCAGGAGGCAGAGGUUGCAGUGAGCCAAGAUUGAGCCAUUGCACUCCAGCCUGGGUGACAGAGCGAGACUCUGUUUCAA